rnacentral:tRNA from 1 species
GUCUCCGUGGUUCAGUGGUUAGAGCGUUGGGCUCCCGAUCCGGAGGUCCCGGAUUCAAGACCCGGUGGGGACA